AUACGUAGGCAGCAAGCGUUGUUCGGAAUUACUGGGCGUAAAGAGUGCGUAGGCGGUUGGCUAAGUUUGAUGUGAAAUCUCCCGGCUUAACUGGGAGGGUGCGUCGAAAACUGGUCAGCUAGAGUGCGGGAGAGGAUAGUGGAAUUCCUGGUGUAGCGGUGAAAUGCGUAGAUAUCAGGAGGAACACCUGAGGUGUAGACGGCUAUCUGGACCGUAACUGACGCUGAGGCACGAAAGCGUGGGGAGC
rnacentral:rRNA from 1 species